rnacentral:rRNA from 1 species
GAUCCUGGCUCAGGAUGAACGCUGGCGGCGUGCUUAACACAUGCAAGUCGAGCGAAGCACUUAAGUUUGAUUCUUCGGAUGAAGACUUUUGUGACUGAGCGGCGGACGGGUGAGUAACGCGUGGGUAACCUGCCUCAUACGAGGGGGAUAACAGUUAGAAAUGACUGCUAAUACCGCAUAAGACCACGGUACCGCAUGGUACAGUGGUAAAACUCCGGUGGUAUGAGGAUGGACCCGCGU